AUGACCAACUAUCUGAUCGAGAACGGCUAUGUUGACACCAACUGCCAGAAGGCAGGAGUUCCAGGUUUCCCAGGAUGUGUAGAGCACUCCACUAUGAUCUGGGACCAGAUCCAGAAGGCCAAGCGGGAGAAGACCGACCUGCAUGUCAUCUGGCUCGACCUUGCCAAUGCAUACGGAUCAGUCCCGCAUCAGCUGGUCAACUAUGCCAUGGAAUUUUUCCACAUGCCCACCUGCGUCAAGAACUUGGUAGCUCAGUACUUUAGCAACUUGCAGAUGUGUUUCUCCCUCCAGGACUUCACCACCGGGUGGCAGCGGCUCGAAGUAGGAAUCGCUAUGGGGUGUACCAUAUCUCCAAUACUGUUUGUAGCAGCAUUUGAGAUAAUCCUCAUCGGGGCAAGGCAAAUGGUUGGGGGGAUCAAACUCCCAACUGGUAAGAGGCUUCCUCCACUGAGGAGUUACAUGGAUGAUGUCACCAGCCUCCUUCAGACAGCAGCAUGUACAUCAAGACUGCUGAAGAGGAUGGACGAAUUGAUAUCAUGGGCAAGAAUGAAGAUCAAGCCCUCCAAGUCCCGGAGCUUGUCCCUCAGAAGAGGAGUCAGAAAUGACAAUACCACCUUCGUCGUUGGAGGGGAAAAAAUCCCACUCCUAUCAGAGCAACCCAUCAAAAGCCUGGGGAGGCAGUACACCGCAGACCUAUAUGACAAACAGAUGGGGAAAACCGUCAUGAAGCAGCUCUCUGACGGACUGGCAAGGAUCGAUCAAAGCCAACUCCCUGGGAAGUAUAAGGUCUGGUGCUACCAGUUUACACUCUACAGGAGGGUAAUGUGGCCCCUGAAAAUGAGUGAGAUUCCCUCAUCAACCGUAAGUAAGAUGGAUGGAAAAGCCAACUCAUUCAUCCGAAAGUGGUUGGGGUUGAAACCGGUCUCUUUGGAAAAAAACAUGCUGCAGCUGCCACUACAGUCCAUACAGUUGGGCUACAUGCAGGAAAAGACCAGGUUGGUUCUCGAGCUGAGGGAGUCCACAGACGAGUCAGUGAGGAACGCAAAUGUUAAGGUUCCUACCGGCCGCAAGUGGAAUGCCCAAACUAAGGUCGAUCAAGCUGUCGGUCGGCUACAACACCGGGAGAUCAUGGGCAGAGUUCAGGCAGGAAGAGCAGGGCUAGGAUGGGGAGAGACGCCAUGCUUUUGGUCCAAGGCCAAUCGCAAGCAAAGGAAGGAGAUGGUGGUAGCAGAGGUGAAGAGGAUGGAGGAAGAUCGCUACAAAGUCAAGGCCAUGUCGCAGGGUCGACAAGGAAGCUGGACAACCUGGGAGGGAAUCAUGAAUCGGAACAUCAGUUGGUCAGACGUGUGGAAGAUCCCACAGGCAAGACUUAGCUUCCUCAUCCGUUCAACCUACAACACUCUUCCCUGCCCUCGGAACCUCCAACAGUGGUUUGGGAAUGAAGAAUCCUGUGGACUCUGCAAUGCCCCCAACACAAGUCUCCAGCACAUUUUGUCAGGCUGUAAGAGCGCUCUCUCACAGGGACGCUACAGAUGGCACCACGAUCUGGUCCUGAGAAAGCUAGCCGAAGUACUGGAGGAGUGUCGACAGGGUAGCAAACAACCACCACCAGCAGAGGACCCCACCAUCUUUGUGUCGGAAGGAGGGGUAAGGAGAAGCACCAGAUCAAGAGAAACAGCAAGGCCCUUCUCCCCCAACCAGGAAUGGAAUAUGAGGGUCGACCUGGAUAGGCAGCUCCGGUUCCCAACGGAGAUAACCACCACAUCUCUCCGGCCAGACAUAGUGGUGUGGUCAACCAAGGUAGAUUACUGUACCACUGGAGGAGGGAAUCGAGGCCGCCUUCGAACGGAAGAAGGCCAGGUACUCAGAACUCGCUGCUGA
rnacentral:lncRNA from 1 species